CGAGUCAGCAGGCGAUGCAAUGCUUGUGUUGAGCAGAAGGUGUUCGUGCUGAGCCAGGAAGGAGUCAUGCUACAUUCCCCAGGCUGGUCUUAAGCUACUGGCCUCAAGUCGGCCUGGGCCUUCCAAAUUCUGGGAUUAUGAGUGUUACCUGGCCAGAGAAGAUAUAUUUGAAUCAAACUUAGGGGGACAAGGAUUUCUGUACAGCAGUGUUGUCCUUGAGGAAAUUGAAAUGCAGCUUUGGGAAAGAUGUGUCAGAGCAGAGAGAAGAACGUUGAGAGGCUCACAAUCCACCUGCCUCAGCUGGGACUACAUAGGUGGGACUACAGACACACUCCAGCACACCUGGUGAAGAGUCUAAUUAUUUUUGUUUUAUAGGAUGAAUGGUACCAGAAACAUUGCCAAACUAUCCUCCAGAAAGUACAUUCUCCAAAUAAUAAUAACAAAGGGUGUUUAGGAAAAUGCUGCUGAAUGAUUCACUGCAUAACAGACUAACGGGCUGAGAAAAGGGGCAAAAGAUCUGCAGUGUCAAAGUGAACUGGGGAAGGCAGCAUGUGCAUGGAAAGGUAGAACUCAAAUGAAGAUCAAGACACUUGUGUGCAUGCAGGGGAAGAGACACCAGGGACGCACACAAAUGGAGGAAAGACCAUGUGAGGAUAUGGCAAGAAGGCAACCAUCUACAAGGCCCAGGUAAAACCAAACCUGCCAAUACCUUGAUCUUUACAUUCUUGCCUCCAGAACUGUGAAAAAGUGAAUAAAAAUAAAUUGUUUAAACCAUC